UUUCCUACGGGAGGCAGCAGUAGGGAAUUUUGCGCAAUGGAGGAAACUUGGCAGCAACGCCAUGUGUGGGAUGAAGCAUUUCGGUGUGUAAACCACUGUCAGCAGGGAAUAAAUGCCCUCUUCGGAGGGAGUUGAAUGUACCUGCAAAGGAAGCCCCGGCUAACUUCGUGCCAGCAGCCGCGGUAAUACGAGGGGGGCAAAUGUUGUUCGGAAUCACUGGGCGUAAAGGGAGCGUAGGCGGGCUCUUAAGUUAGGUGUUUAAUCCCGGGGCCCAACCCCGGACAGGCACCUAAAACUGGGGGUCUUGAAUAGUGGAGAGGUCGGCGGAAUUGGGGGUGUAGCGGUGGAAUGCGUAGAGAUCCCCAAGAACACCAGUUGCGAAGGCGGCCGACUGGACACAUAUUGACGCUGAGGCUCGAAAGCAUGGGGAGCAAACAGGAUUAGAUACCCUGGUAGUCCAUGCUAUAAACGAUGAAUACUAGGUUUUGGGCCCGUCAACGGUCCAGAGCCGCAGCUAACGCGUUAAGUAUUCCGCCUGGGGAGUACGCUCGCAAGAGUGAAACUCAAAGGAAUUGACGGGGCCCCAAGCGGGGAGCAUGUGGUUUAAUUCGACGCAACAUUACUUACCAAGGCUUGACAUGGGGAAGACCGGACGAGAGAUCG
rnacentral:rRNA from 1 species